rnacentral:rRNA from 1 species
GACGAACGCUGGCGGCGUGCCUAAUACAUGCAAGUCGAACGCAGUGGGGACGGGUGAUUAACACGUGGGUAACCUCCCGUCAGAGGGGAUAACACGUGGAAACAGGUGCUAAACCGAUACUGGUUUAUGGACCAGGGGGGCAUUAGCUAGUGGGUGGGGUAAAGGCUCACCAAGUCGACGAUGCAUAGCCGGCCUGAGAGGGUGAUCGGCCACACUGGGACUGAGACACGGCCCAGACUCCUACGGGAGGCAGCAGUAGGGAAUCUUCGGCAAUGGACGAAAGCCUGACCCAGCAAUGCCGCGUGAGUGAAGAAGGUUUUCGGAUCGUAAAACUCUGUUGGUAGAGAAGCGUUAUCUAACCAGAAAGCCACGGCUAACUACGUGCCAGCAGCCGCGGUAAUUC